UGGCUGAGCGAUAAAGCGCUUGGCUUCCAAACAGAGGUCCCGGGUUCGAAUCCUGG
rfam:Biomphalaria glabrata isolate BB02 unplaced genomic scaffold LGTN_random_Scaffold271, whole genome shotgun sequence.